ACCGGUAUACAACCACAAAAAAAAAAGAAAAAAAAAGGGAGAAGCAAAAGCCAAGAUAGAUCUAUUUUUUGAUUUGCAGUAUUGAUUGUGAAUAAUGGCGAAGGUGGAGUUAAACAAAGAGACAAAGAAGGCUGUGAAUAGAAAUCACGGUUCCACCAAAUUCUUUGUAUUUGUUGAUUAUCUUUUCCUCUUUCUAUUCUUCUGUUUCCUCUCUUACAUUCUCUUCAAAAUGCUCGGACUUUGAGGUUAAUGAUAAUCUAUAUCCAGAUCAAGAGAUUGCAAGCUCUUAUGACACAGCUGCUGGUUUACGGCAGUUUAAGGAUUGUUUUCAUCUUGGACUGAGAUAUCUAGAAGGAAUGAAGUCUUUGCACUGGUGAUAUAUGUCAAAUUCUUCUGUGCCACAUGACUUACCUAAUUGAUGUACUUAUAUAUAAUAUACAUAUAACAUUGAGUUAGUUUUUUGGAUGUGCCUGAUCACACAAAUUACAUGUGCAUAACACUGAAAUUCUGGUGCUCAAUUGACAACUACUAGUAUCUCCUUUACUGAUCUGAAA